GGGGCCGUAGUCCAGCGGUAGAGACACACGGUUUAGGUCCGUGCCAGGGUGGGUUCGAAUCCCACCGGCCCCACCA
rnacentral:tRNA from 1 species